rnacentral:rRNA from 1 species
AUGAAAAAUAAAACAUACCUUACGAUCAUGCUCUUCUGCAAAGUACUCACGGUUGACAUCACUCCUUGGAAUUGCAUCAUUCGAAUUGAUCGCGAGUGCCGUAUCGCGAACCUGAACUGGCAGACCAUAUUCAAGGUCCAGAAGGCAGACCUGGCAGACGUUUUUCAACUUGCAGCACGUCUGGCAGAUCUCUGUCUUCUUGUACCUUGCAUCCCGACCAGGUCUCCAACGGAAGACAGUAAAAGGACGCGCACAGAUCUUGCAUUCCUUGUCAUAUUCUGCUCUGAGCUGCCAACGCAAACAGGAAAACUGGUAAAUAAUCCGUCUUACAAAGAACUGAAGCAAUAG